rnacentral:rRNA from 1 species
GCGCACGCUGGCGGCAGGCCUAACACCUGCAAGUCGAACGCACCUUUCGGGGUUAGUGGCGGACGGGUGAGUAACACGUGGGAACGUGCCUUUAGGUUCGGAAUAACUCAGGGAAACUUGUGCUAAUACCGAAUGUGCCCUUCGGGGGAAAGAUUAAUCGCCUUUAGAGCGGCCCGCGUCUGAUUAGCUAGUUGGUUGAGGUAAUGGCUCACCAAGGCGACGAUCAGUAGCUGGUCUGAGAGGAUGAUCAGCCACAUUGGGACUGAGACACGGCCCAAACUCCUACGGGAGGCAGCAGUGGGGAAUCUUGCGCAAUGGGCGAAAGCCUGACGCAGCCAUGCCGCGUGAAUGAUGAAGGUCUUAGGAUUGUAAAAUUCUUUCACCGGGGACGAUAAUGACGGUACCCGGAGAAGAAGCCCCGGCUAACUUCGUG